rnacentral:snRNA from 1 species
AAAUUCAUAAUUUGACAAUAUCGUAACCAAUGAGGUUUAACCGAGGUGCGAUUAUUACUAGUUGAAAACUUAUACGAAUAUUU